CAGGACAGGGGGCCAGGCCUGAUGUUACAGCAGUGGAGUGGAGAGGAGAAAAACAAGAACCAACGCCCCAAAGCACCUGGUUUCAGCGCUGCAGGGGAAGUGAAGGGGAGCGGUGGGGUCUGCGGUGCUGCCCCCACCGCACCUCCAAGCGGACAAGGAGAAAGCCACGCCCACCGCACCUCCCGCUGACCGCGAGUCCCUGCACACAGAGUUAACACCAAAUGAGGACUUCCUGUGUGGUCAGCAGCCAUAAAAAAUUUGCACAGAAAACUUCUUUUGGGGCGUGGGGGAGGGGGAGCCUUGAACAGACUAAAAUCUUCCCUGGCCAGAUAAGGGUGGUGACUCAAAGGCAGGUCUAUCCAGUACCCUAAGGACCGAAGGAAAUUAUUAUUCAAACCAAAACACACCAAAUUUCAUUUAGCCUCUUUUAUUGACAAGUUUCAUUUAAACAUCUCUAACAGUUAGAAAAUCAAUGUCCAGUAAGAACAUUGCUAUACAUCUUAAAAUACAAAUGUCAGUAAAUAUGAAAGAACAGGGUUAAUCAUUUUUCCAAGUCAAUGCUUGAUAAGAAUUAUUUUCCAGGAAGCAUGUUACACAGCAGGUGCCCCAGGUAUAAGGGACAGAGGCUCAGCCAGCUCAGGAGAUGAUGGCACAGCAGCCCACGUUCCCGCUCAGUGAUACACCAGGCAGUCCACACGAUGACAGAAGCACCAGUCUUCAUAGCCCAGCUCCAAAGCUACACCAGGGUUUUUUUUCUGCCAGGGGAAGGAGUCAUGUUCAGAGACAAAUGCACCACUUUAAAAUGAAACUAUGAUGGCUCCAUUCCAGGAUCCUCUGGUUUAACCUGGGAAGCAGAGUUCUCCCAAGAGCUGUCAAGUGAAGAUAGGUUACCAGGAACUGAGAGACCAAAGAGUCAAGCCAGACUCGUUCUGAACACAUUUUCUUGUUCCAUACAAUUCAUUAUUCUCUUCUUUAGUUGACUCAAGUUCAAGCUGUUUCUAUUGCACUGACAUACACAAGGUGCAGCUUAGUUGUGUCUAAACUGAACUUUUACCCAGUGUGUCUGAUGCAAAUGAUCUUUUAGGCCAAUCCGACUUCUGGGAAAACUGUUUAUAUAUUAACAUACCUCAAAGUUCACAUUUUCAUUUUAACAAAUCAUCUUUUU